rnacentral:rRNA from 1 species
GGACCCGCACAAGUAGUGGAGCAUGUGGUUUAAUUCGAAGAUACGCGCAGAACCUUACCUACUCUUGACAUACUUGGGAGCUCUUGUAAUGAGAGUGUGCCUUUUGGAACCAAGAUACAGGUGCUGCAUGGCUGUCGUCAGCUCGUGUCGUGAGAUGUUCCGUUAAGUCGGAUAACGAGCGCAACCCUUACCCUUAUUUGCCAGCGAUUCGGUCGGGAACUAUAAGGGGACUGCCGGUGAUAAACCGGAGGAAGGUGAGGACGACGUCAAGUCAUCAUGGCCCUUACGAGUAGGGCUACACACGUGCUACAAUGGGGAAUACAGACGGACGCUAAGCCGCGAGGUGGUGCUAAUCCUAGAAAGUUUCUCGUAGUCCGGAUUGGAGUCUGCAACUCGACUCCAUGAAGUCGGAAUCGCUAG